UAAGAGGUGCGACUUUCAAUGCCCAAAAGAGCUAAAACAUUUUCCAUUAGUUCACCGGCAUAUGUAAGCAUUCCGCUUGAAGAAUUUCCCGAACCGCUCAUCAACAACUAAUAAAUUAAAUGCAUUUCCUAGCCAUCUCGUCAGCCUUAACACCCUAACUGCCCCCACAAUAUUUGGAUACACAAAAUGUAUUUCUGAUCCAGUGCCCAAAAGUUGGCUCAGCUUUUUUUCUCGCUUUUGGCGCUUCAACAUUUCUGGAAAUUUAUCAUUUAAAUUCAAAUUCACUUUCGGCUGCGUUGAGGGCUUUGAAUUAGUUUGUAAAUUUGCGUAUUUUCCAGGAUUCUUUUCCUUGGUUUCGCUUCGCUUUUUUUCGUUUGCGCAUAAAUUUGAAAGCCAUUGAAAUGAAAUGUUCGGCAUCAGUAUUUGCAUAUCCUUUUUGGCAGCCGAUGAAUUGCGCGCCAACGCCAGCAGAUGCUCUGAACCGGCUAAGUGAGGUUAAUGUGUAUUUUAUCGAUCUGACUAAGCGGCUAAAUGCUGUGACCCGGGGCAGGAAUAAAAUCUGCUUUUCGGACGCACGGCAUCAUCUACUUACAUGGUAUGAUGCCCUGCUCGACGAGCUGCGAAUGUGGACGUCGCACCAUGAGCUUCACUUUGAGCGCUGCAAAAAGAUGGAAGACCAAAGAAGCAGGCUGCACUGUCGAUUUUCUGAAAAAAUCAGUACAAAUAGGGUGGGCACACAGCUCUUAAGAAGUAUUUUUUAAUUCCGGAGUCCACAAAGUUCCAAUUGGAAAAGGGCGUCGCAAAUUCGAACAAAAGGAGACAACUAAAACGUCAUCGAAACGCCGGCAAAACAAAGACGCGAAGCAGCGGCACAAAGCGGAGAAGUGCAAAACGACGAAGAGGAGCCAAAGAGGGAACGCCAAAACUUUUGCGAAUCUCAGGCAUAAAGUGGAUUAAAACAGCGAAAUACAUAGAUAUACAUAAAUGCAAUUAAAUAGAGGGGGACUACAUGAAAAAUUGCACCAAAAUCAAAUUUAGACGGGCAUCUCACGCACCUC